rnacentral:rRNA from 1 species
UACGUAGGUGGCGAGCGUUGUCCGGAUUUAUUGGGCGUAAAGGGAGUGUAGGCGGUCUUUUAAGUCUGAUGUGAAAGCCCACGGCUCAACCGUGGAGGGUCAUUGGAUACUGGGAGACUUGAGUGCAGAAGAGGAGAGCGGAAUUCCAUGUGUAGCGGUGAAAUGCGUAGAUAUAUGGAGGAACACCAGUGGCGAAGGCGGCUCUCUGGUCUGUAACUGACGCUGAGGUGCGAAAGCGUGGGGAGCAAACAGGAUUAGAAACCCUAGUAGUCC